rnacentral:rRNA from 1 species
UACGUAGGGGGCUAGCGUUGUCCGGAAUCAUUGGGCGUAAAGCGCGUGUAGGCGGUCCGGUAAGUCCGCUGUGAAAGUCGGGGGCUCAACCCUCGAAUGCCGGUGGAUACUGUCGGGCUAGAGUACGGAAGAGGCGAGUGGAAUUCCUGGUGUAGCGGUGAAAUGCGCAGAUAUCAGGAGGAACACCUACGGCGAAGGCAGCUCGCUGGGACGGUACUGACGCUGAGACGCGAAAGCGUGGGGAGCAAACAGG